CCCUUAGAUGUUCUGGGCCGCACGCGCGCAACACUGAUUCAUGCAACAAGUUUUGUCCUUGGCUGAUAGGCCUGGGUAAUCUUUGAACGUGAAUCGUGAUGGGGAUAGAUGAUUGCAAUUAUUCAUCUUCAACGAGGAAUUCCUAGUAAACGCAAGUCAUCAGCUUGCAUUGAUUACGUCCCUGCCCUUUGUACACACCGCCCGUCGCACCUACCGAUUGAAUGGUCCGGUGAAAUCUUCGGAUCUGAGAGAUGUCUGAUUAAUUUCGGACGCCUUUUGGAAAAGUUGCUUAAACCUUACCAUUUAGAGGAAGGUGAAGUCGUAACA
rnacentral:rRNA from 1 species